AUGGACGCACGGAUGAGGCUGAUAAUCCAGGCAGCAGCACUGAUUAGUGUGAUUCAGGCAUGGGUCAUGUUCAUGCACCAGAGAGUUGUUCGUCGUGCUAGGAGACCUUUGAUCCGCUAUGGUCCAUUGUUUCCCCGGGAACAGGAGAGGAUCCGAAAUAUGAACUACAUCUACAACUGCAAUGACGUCGAGGCUCUAUAGAUGCUUAGAAUGAAAAUAGCACCAUUUGCCAGGCUUGUCGAGACCUUCAGGGCAGGGGGGCUGUUACAAGAUAGCAUCAACACCAGUGCCGAAGAGCAAGUGGCCAUGUUCCUCCAUGUUGUUGGCCAUAACCAGAGGUUCAAGGUCAUUCACAACACGUUCAGGAGAUCAAUGGAGACCAUCUCUAGAUACUUCAAGUAGGUGCUUUAUGUUGUUAGGGAGCUUAGAGGAGAGAUGAUCAGGAGACCAUCUGGCCAGACUCCACCCAAGAUUCGUGGAAGCCCAAGAUGGUAUCCAUAUUUCAAGGUGAGCAUUGACAAUAUACACUUUUCAUGA
rnacentral:rRNA from 1 species